CCAUGAAAUUAUUUUAUAACUUAAAUUCCUCAGUCAUACAACAAUGAUCUUUCAAAGACAGAAACAUUUCUGACCUUCAACUGUGGGGAAGAACAAGGAAAGAUCAACAACAGCAGCAACCAAAAAGAUAAUCAAAUCUUAAACAGCUUUGAAUAAAGGAAAAAGGCAUCUUCUUUUUUUUAUGAGAGGCACAACAGGGGACACAAGAAAAAAGGUGAUAAAUUGACAGUACAAAUGAGUGACGAGAGAGAGAAUUCAGUUGAUGAAAAACUUGAAACAAAGGAGAUGGAUAACAGAAGUUUGAUUCCAGAUGAUCAAGCACAGGAUGAGCGAUACAUUCACAAAGUUGGAGUUCCUCCAAAGCAAAAACUCUACAAAGAAAUCAAGUCUGCAGUGAAAGAAACGUUUUUCCCAGAUGAUCCUCUCCGUUCAUUCAAGGAUCAAACUAAGAAGCGGAAAUUUAUACUCGGCAUCCAAGCGGUUUUCCCGAUACUUGAUUGGGGAAGAAAUUAUAAUUUGACUAAGUUUAGAGGAGAUGUUAUUUCUGGAUUAACAAUUGCUAGUCUUUGCAUCCCACAGGAUAUUGGGUAUGCCAAGCUUGCAAAUUUGUCUCCAGAGUAUGGUUUGUACUCCAGUUUUGUUCCACCAUUAAUCUACGCAAUUAUGGGUAGCUCAAGAGAUAUAGCCAUUGGUCCAGUUGCUGUUGUUUCUCUCUUGUUGGGGACACUGCUUCAAGAGGAAAUCGAUUCUGCUACAAAUCCAAAAGACUACCUUCGGCUAGCAUUUACAGCUACAUUUUUUGCAGGGAUCACACAAGCCACCCUUGGAAUUCUGAGGUUGGGAUUCCUUAUUGACUUCUUGUCCCAUGCUGCCAUUGUUGGCUUCAUGGGAGGAGCUGCCAUCACCAUUGCUCUCCAACAACUCAAAGGCUUUCUUGGCAUAAAGAAGUUCACAAAGAAAACAGAUAUUAUCUCUGUUAUGCAGUCCGUAUUUGGCUCAAUGAGACACGGAUGGAACUGGCAAACAAUAGUGAUUGCUACAACCUUCCUUGGAUUCCUUCUAUUUGCAAAAUACAUGGGAAAGAAGAACAAGAGGCUCUUCUGGGUGCCUGCAAUUGCUCCACUUAUAUCUGUUGUACUUUCUACCUUUCUCGUCUUCAUAACUCAUGCAGAUAAGGAAGGAGUUGCAAUUGUGAAACACAUAGAGAAAGGAAUCAAUCCCCCAUCUGUAAAAGACUUAUUUUUAUCAGGCCAAUACCUUCUAAAAGGGUUUAAGAUUGGUGUCGUGGCAGGAAUGGUGGCACUGACGGAAGCCGUUGCGAUUGGAAGAACAUUUGCUUCAAUGAAAGACUAUCAAAUAGAUGGAAACAAGGAAAUGGUAGCAAUGGGAGUCAUGAAUGUUGUUGGUUCAAUGUCUUCCUGCUAUGUAGCAACAGGAUCAUUCUCUCGAUCGGCUGUAAAUUACAUGGCUGGCUGCCAAACUGCAGUCUCUAACAUUGUGAUGUCCAUUGUAGUACUACUAACCUUGGCAUUCCUCACCCCACUUUUCAAAUAUACUCCUAACGCGAUUCUGUCUGCUAUCAUCAUAUCCGCUGUGAUCAACCUGAUCGACUUGUAUGCAGUGAAACUGAUUUGGAAGAUUGAUAAAUUUGAUUUUGUUGCUUGUAUGGGAGCCUUCUUCGGUGUCAUCUUUUUCUCUGUUGAGAUAGGCCUUCUUGUUGCGGUAUGCAUUUCCUUCGCCAAAAUCCUUCUACAAGUUACCAGGCCAAGGACUGCAAUUCUCGGAAAGAUCCCGAGGACGACUGUUUACCGAAACAUACUACAAUAUCCUGAAGCAACCAAGGUUCCUGGCCUUUUGAUUGUGAGAGUUGAUUCGGCAAUUUACUUUUCCAACUCCAAUUACAUCAAAGAAAGGAUAUUGAGAUGGCUGGUUGAUGAGGAAGAACAAACGAAAAAGUUAUACCAGAACAAAAUCCAGUUUCUAAUAGUUGAAAUGUCACCUGUUACUGACAUAGACACCAGUGGCAUACAUGCUUUGGAAGAGCUAAAUGGGAGUCUGAAGAAACGAGAAAUUCAGGGACAACCAGGUGUAUGGUGAUAUAGAGUCCACAUCCACGUCUUUGCAUGUAAAAAUGAUGAAAAUGCAGAGAGGAAGAAGGAGAAGAUCACACAUGAUUUUUAAAGUGGUUCAUCACCGUUGAUGCUCGUCGAACGUUUGUUUUAAGGAAAGAAAAGGACGAUUGUUAAUAAUCUUUCGUCGAACGUUUGUUUGAAAAGAAGAAGAAGAUGCUCUUUCACUAAUGCUCUCUGAACGUUUGUUUGAAGGAACGUUUAUUUGCAGUCACUGUCAGUGCUCACUGAAUGUCUGAAGGGUUUGAAGAAGGUUUCAAAUGAUUUGAAGCACGAUGUACAUUUCAUCGUACGUUCAAACCGUUGAUGCAAAAACCUGAAGAAGACGACUAUUUUGCUGUACGUUUGAAGAGUUCUGUUGUACGUUUGAAGAAUGCUCGCCAAUACUCGUUGUCCGUUUAAAAAUCUGUUGAUGCUCAUCAUACGUUUGAAGAAUGCUUGCCAAUGUUGUUGAUUCCGUAAAGGAUUUGAACCUUUUGCUGAUGUUCGCCGUCCGUUUAAAAAUCUGUGAUGCUAUAUGGGUUUUGAAGCACGAGUAAGAGACACCUAAUUGCCUCAACUUUUAUUUAGAGAUUAUUUUGAUGGAGGUGAAAUUGUGCUUUUUGGGGGAAAUUAAGAUUUUGAUGGCUUUUAAUUGAUUUUAUUGUUUUGAAAGAGAAAAAAUUAGGGGAUAAUGUAAUGGUUAUUUUUGGAGAGAUUGAGUCCAUUAUGGAGCAUUAUAUUUGAGAUUUUGGAAUAGUUGUAUUUUAGAUAUUAGUUCGUUGAGGACACAUAUUUGUAGCAGUAUUUUUUUUUCAUUUCUUACGAUUUUGCUAUUUCAACGAUUUAAAUUUAA